rnacentral:rRNA from 1 species
GACGAACGCUGGCGGCGUGCUUAACACAUGCAAGUCGAACGGAAAGGCCCUGCUUUUGUUGGGUGCUCGAGUGGCGAACGGGUGAGUAACACGUGAGUAACCUGCCCUUGACUUUGGGAUAACUUCAGGAAACUGGGGCUAAUACCGGAUAGGAGCUCCUGCUGCAUGGUGUUGGUUGGAAAGUUUCGGCGGCUGGGGAUGGAGUCGCGGCUUAUCAGCUUGUUGGUGGGGUAGUGGCUUACCAAGGCUUUGACGGGUAGCCGGCCUGAGAGGGUGACCGGCCACAGUGGGACUGAGAUACGGCCCAGACUCCUACGGGAGGCAGCAGCGGGGAAUAUUGCACGAUGGGCGGAAGCCUGAUGCAGCAACGCCGCGUGCGGGAUGACGGCCUUCGGGUUGUAAACCGCUUUAGCCUGUGACGAAGCGUGAGUGACGGUAAUGGGUAAAGAAGCACCGGCUAACUACGUG